rnacentral:rRNA from 1 species
CGAACGAGGGUCCUUCGGGACUCGAGUGGCGAACGGGUGAGUAACACGUAGGGAACCUGCCCGUGCGACCGGGAGAACUUUCGGAAACGGAAGCUGAUACCGGAUAGGGACAGAGACGGCAUCGACUCUGUGUUAAAGGAGCUGAAAGGCUCCGCGCACGGAUGGACCUGCGGUGCAUUAGCUAGUUGGUGAGGUAACGGCCCACCAAGGCGACGAUGCAUAGCCGGCCUGAGAGGGCGGACGGCCACACUGGGACUGAGACACGGCCCAGACUCCUACGGGAGGCAGCAGUAGGGAAUUUUCGUCAAUGGGCGCAAGCCUGAACGAGCAAUGCCGCGUGAACGAGGAAGGUCUUCGGAUCGUAAAGUUCUGUUGAAGGGGAAAAAGAGCGGAGAGAGGAAAUGGUCUCCGAUUGAUAUUACCCUUCGAGGAAGUCACGGCUAACUACGUGCCAGCAGCCGCGGUAAUACGUAGGUGGCGAGCGUUAUCCGGAAUGAUUGGGCGUAAAGGGUGCGUAGGCGGCCUGCUAAGUCUGGAGUGAAAGGUACCGGCUCAACCGGUACAGGCUCUGGAAACUGGCGGGCUAGAGAGCAGGAGAGGGCGGUGGAACUCCAUGUGUAGCGGUAAAAUGCGUAGAUAUAUGGAAGAACACCAGUGGCGAAGGCGGCCGCCUGGCCUGUUACUGACGCUGAGGCACGAAAGCGUGGGGAGCAAAUAGGAUUAGAUACCCUAGUAGUCCACGCCGUAAACGAUGAGGACCAAGUGUUGGGGAAGACCCAGUGCUGCAGUUAACGCAGUGAGUCCUCCGCCUGGGGAGUAUGCACGCAAGUGUGAAACUCAAAGGAAUUGACGGGGGCC